UACGUAGGGGGCAAGCGUUGUCCGGAUUUAUUGGGCGUAAAGAGCGUGUAGGCGGCUAGGUAGGUCCGUUGUGAAAACUCGAGGCUCAACCUCGAGACGUCGAUGGAAACCAUCUAGCUAGAGUCCGGAAGAGGAGAGUGGAAUUCCUGGUGUAGCGGUGAAAUGCGCAGAUAUCAGGAAGAACACACGUGGCGAAGGCGGCUCUCUGGUACGUGACUGACGCUGAGACGCGAAAGCGUGGGGAGCGAACAGG
rnacentral:rRNA from 1 species